GCCAUAGGAACUGACAUUUUCAACUGAAUUUUAAUAUUUUCAUAUCUAAAUAGAUCCUUAUUGGUUGAAAGACCUUCAAUUGUUCUUUGAACAAUUGGUUUUUAAUUAUUAUUAUUAUUUUUAUUUUUUUUCUUCCGCCAACUUUUUUUUCCUUCGCUGUUUUUUUGUUUCACAAGAUGUCGCUUAGAUAUUUGGUAUAUGAUAUCGAACAGUUAAUGCGCUUCUGAAACUGACACCGCGUAACAAAAAACUUUACCUUGUAAGAGUUAUCUCCCCGAACACUGUUUUUCUUGUGGCCUCUAAGGCUUCGCAACCGUAUAAGAAACCGACAAAUUUAUUUUUCCAAAUUGCUCGUUAUAUCCUCAGGAUGUUCUGUUUCAUUUUGACCGAAGCUAUCCGGAGACUCCAUAUGAGAGUUAUCCCCCCUUUUAUAUAUGAUAUAAGUGAUAUGCAUUUCUAACUGGUAAACCAUAAGUGAUAGAGACCUAGGGUCUUUUGAUUUAAGAUCCUUGGUCCAAAAAAAUGAAAAUUAGGUCAAGGUCAAAGGUCAAGGUCAAAUUUUAAAUUUUGAUUUUGGCUUAUUUUCACUUAUUUUCAUUAACCUUAUAAGAUUUCGACAAAUUAUUUUUACUAAAUUGUUAGUUGCG
rnacentral:lncRNA from 1 species